rnacentral:rRNA from 1 species
UUGACCUCGGAUCAGGUAGGAAUACCCGCUGAACUUAAGCAUAUCAAUAAGCGGGGGAAAAGAAA